rnacentral:lncRNA from 1 species
CGUGAGGCGAAGGCCAGCCAUUUUGAAAUUCAACAUGGAAAAGAAUCGCUACCCAAAAUGUGGAUAUUUCUUCUUCUUUUUUCCAGCAGUUUGACGGACAGGAUUACCUGGAUUCAAAACUGAGAGCAGUGCUGUGGCAUGUAUUGAGAACAAGGGUCCCAGAGCAGGACUGGAAACCUGAGCUAGCUGAGCAAUGUUUCACUAAAAGGUGUAUGCUACAUGUAGCUAUGAAGAGAGAUGUGCUCGUACACCUUACAAAAAAGUGAAGCUCUUCAUGCAGAGCAACACCUCAGGCUCCAGCAGGCCUAGGCUGCUCCCUUGUAGGCACAUUGGCAUGAUACAUGUACAAGAUAUGUCACAGGUAGACUGAUCACAAGAAACAAGAGUCCCUUCUUGCAAAAGUCUACAGCCUUUUGCUAUUGGAUGAUUUGUAAUCAGCCAUGUCUAACUUGAGACUUGGUGAUGAUGCUGACUUCUUAAAUGGCCAUCCAACAGAUUUCAGGACUCUGUGCUGUCAUCAUUUGAGGAACUUCUAUCCUCCAAGAUGGGGAACACUUGAUGUCUACCGUACCUCCAUUAAAGCCGGUUCAUACUUCAUGCGAAAUGCACAAUGAACUCAAAUUUGCGAGGGCAGAUCAAAUAUUUGUUUUACGAAUUUGCAAAAGUUGAACAUACAUGUAUUUCAACUUGAGAAAAAAAUCACUACCGUUUUUUGUGAUGUCAAAUUUGCCCCCAGUUGAAAAAGUCUGGGGGGGGAGCUUCUGCCAUCAGCAGAUUACAUUUUUACCCGUGAAAAAUGCACUUUGAGGAGAACUUAAUUCAUGCAGUUGGACAUUUCUUUGUAUAGUUUUGCCAAACUUUCAUGACCAGUCAUGUUUCCAUUGCUAUGGAUUACCUUGGAGUUAAUUAAGUGACCAGCUCCAUUGAAAUCAGGAAUAACUCGAGUAAUCACUGCUUCUUGAAGGACAGUGUUUAAAAACCUUCGAAGCAUGAAUUGUCACACAAAGGAGUCUUGGCUUAUUUGAUUUGUUAUCUUGUGAAAGAUUUGUCAGAAACUGUUUCUAAAUGUAUGACUACAUAGCAGAUUACUCAAACUUAUUGGCCUUCUUUCUCUCUUGUGAUUACGCUACAGCAACCAAGAGAGCCGAGUGUUUUAUUUUUCGAAAUUUUAAUUUGAAUGGAGCAGGUUACAUUUAUCCUAAAGUCUUGAGCUUGUAUGAAGCUUCAACUGUGUUACAUUUCACUAGGCACUGAAACAUUAGUACAAAGAUGUAUGUGCGGUAUGUAGUUAUUAAAAAAUUUAAUUUCUUCUUCAAAAAGCAGGCACAUGUCAGUAGGUUUUUUAGUUUGAAGUAAAGUAACAUCAAUUAGGAUGAAUGAUGAAGGCAACUUAUCAACAAAGAAUGUUCUGGCAAAGUUUUUUUUUUCAGUACAAGAUUAAUUUGAGGAACAUUGCUUUGUUGUCAACUGGAGAUAUUUUUCAGUGAUAUAGAAAGGUUUUUUGGAAAAGACGCAGCAUUUAAAACCUAUGUAGUGAUUUGAAAACAUCGGUUUCAAAUGUGAUUCCCGUUUGCCCUCAUUUGCAAUAAGUUUUUAAUGUGAACUUGGAGAUGUUUUUCAGACAUGUGCCUGGUUUUUGGUUGUUUAAAUUUCUAACUUUUUUAAUGGGAGACUUUGAGACGCACAGUGGCAGAAGACACAAGGGUCCUUUUUGGUUGAUGUGGGCAUGCGCGUGCAGUUCUAGGCAUGCGUGUUAGUGAGCAUGCACACAACUAUAGAAAAGGACCGGUUUGUCUGCCGCCACCAUGCGUCUCAAAGUCUCCCAUCGAAAAGGUGACUUUCAAUUUGUAAUGUAUGUAGAGAGCUACAUGUAUAUGUAGUCUACAAUGGCACAUUAUCAUACACAUGGUGAUUCAGUGUAGAGUCAUAAAUGCGCAGAUGUGUUGGGCAAUGUAAACUGGGCCAUGGGUGAUACUUUCUGUACUGAUUUCUGUAAUGACAUUCAUUACUACCCAGCUUUUUAUAUAGUAUUUUUUUUGGGGGGGAAUGCACUUUUGAAUUGUUUUCUGAGGUCUUAAUAUGUUCAUGUGGUAGCUGGUUGAUUGCCUGCCUCCAAAAGAUGAAAAUGUUGACAAUCCAGCCCCCCGCCUGAAAAAGGGAAUUUAAUUUAAAAGAGUGGUUGCAAGUUAAUUACACCAAAAAAGAGAAAGCUAAAGUUGUGUUGGCCAGUGCUGAAUAUACAUGUAUAAAUCCCAACUUCAUAAGAGCUGUUUUUCAUCGUGGACAACAUAUUUUUUUCACAAUCUGUCCUGAAAGUCCCUUUUUUUUUCAAAUUACACUUGUGUAAUUGCUGUUUAAGGCAUGAUGAUGGGUUUUCAUGAAAAAUAUGUUUGACGCAGCUUUUUUAAUUUUCGAUUUAAAAAUACAAACUAAAAGAAAAAAGUCACUCUAAAGGAUGGUUAAGAAACAAGUCACCAGUGGUAGACAAUACGGAAACUUUUGAUCCUAAUUGCUGAAAAUGUAUUGUAUGUGUUACGCAUGAUGUGCCACUGUAGACUUUUUUAUUGUUUGCAAUAAAUUUGUAGGUCUGGUUUGUGUGUCUUUUUUCUUGGGGGGGGGUCUGCUGUCCAUUUCGCAAGUUUCCAAGCAUGCAGUUAGAACCUUACAGUUACAAUGUAACUCUCCAAUUCCGCAUCAAGUUGGCAGUGUUUGAAAACAGUUGUAUCUAUGCUGUUCAUCGUUUUGUAUGCUUACUGGACACAGACUUGUUCCAUUUUGACAGCAUAUAGGUUCAUUACAGAAGUUGUACAUGUAUGUAAGAGUUCAAGUAGGAGUGCUGCAAUAGGAUUUUGGUGAAGUAUCUGUUAUACAAACAAUAUGUCAUAGCAGAAAACUGUGAAAUGGACAGCAGGUCUUGCAUCUCAAUUCGUAUCUUGAAUUUCAGGUGUUUCCAGUCUACAUGUAUGCACCAAUGAAUGCACUGCAUCAAUUCAUACAUUUAAGAUUUUUUCCCCUCACAAGUUUGUUGUUUACACUCAUCCCUUUAAGUUCUUCAAGUUGCUUGAAAAGUCAUUUGUCUGGAGGGCGCUACAUAAAAGCUUACAAUGUGAUGUAGUGUGUUCAUAAAAAGACCAUUGACUAAUUGCAAUCAAUCGUACUACAGUGGGUAGUACUCGAUUAAACAUGUAGGCAUAACAGUGAGAAAUAUUGACACCAAAACGAGAAUACAUGUAGAUGAGUAGAAUGGGUUGGACCAAUUUAAUUGUAUUUAAAGUUUUAGCAAAGUAAAAUACUGGAUAAUACAGUCAGAUUGUUGAGUUUCAAUAAAUAUGCUUUCCAGUAGAUACUGUUUAUAUGGCGUUUUCUGUUAAUUCAGAUUCAUGAACUCUGACCUGACCCUUGAACUCUGACCUGACCUUUCAACUUUGACCUGACCUUUCAACUUUGACCUGACCUUUCAACUUUGACCUGACCUUUCAACUUUGACCUCUGGGGUGGCCAAAAAAAAAGCCCAAUGCAUGCAGGCCCCCCUGCUGCACACCCAAGUGGUGUGUCCCCGCCCUACAGACACCUUCAGACCAGGGAGUACCCCUAACUAUCUGCACCAACUAGUGAUCGCUUUUUCGUCAUGUGCACACAUUUCCCCACUCUUGAAAUCCAAGCAUUCAUGAAUGACUUCAGUUAACUCCAACAGGACAAGGAUCACUUGAACUCUUACCAUCGGCAAUGCUUUUCUAUCAAAGUAGGGCAUCUUGGUUGUUUAUACUCUGUGUUGCUAUGGAUACCAGUGAUCUCUCCAUUACUCCCAAGAAUUGCUCAUCAAAGAGAACCCUCCCACACGGGCUACUCGUCAUGAUCUUUGCAACCGACAUUUCCAGAGCCACAAGUUACAUUCUGUGUCUGAAUCAACCAGAUGAAGCAUUUAACACACUCUAACAUUUUGCAAGCUUUCUACGACAUUUGACAAUGUUACAAACUUUUAGGGCAACUAUCGUAGCCCUUGUCCAUAUAAAUAACUUCCAUGACAACUCCAAUACAACCUACAAAUACUGCAUAAACCACGUUCCUUUUUCAAAAAGCAGUCUGUAUAAACACGGUAAAUGUACUAUUUUUCAUGUGUGGACAACAAUUAGCUUACAGAGAGCUGAUCCCUCAUACAGAGGAUUUCCAUCUUUAAAAUGUACAAACUACAUAUCUGAAUGAGUCCUUUGUAGGACUUGGGGCCAAAACAAGAGGUCACUUUACUGUGACAAUGAGCUAAUGAGACCAAAUUUGUCCUAUGAAAGCUGCAAAUGCAAUAUGGGGGAAACCAGUAACUCAAAAAAAGAGAUGUAUCACACAGCAGCAAGCAACCAGCAAUUGAAGCAAGGGGAAAGAACUUGCUUUCAACUAUUCCUGACUGAGAAGCAGUUUCAUUCUUUUCAUUCUAUCUUUUGGAUAAUAAUAGAUAAGUAAAAAAGUACAUCAAGUGAAAAAGCAAUAUGUUGUGCCAUCAUCGGUCAGUUUACAAAUAUUUGAACUUUGCAAAGUGCAACCACCAAUAUAAAGAUGAAUAGUUGUAUUUACAAUGCUGUUUUGUUUUCUAAAUGUUGCAUUUGAUUCCAAGUUCUCAUUUUUUUGUUGUUUGAACCAAAAAAUAUUUCAGACCAACAAGGCCAAAUUCAAUAAAUUGUUUCUUUUUUUUUUGUUGAAUUCCCCUCAAUUGGGAUUUGGAAUAAAUACUUAUUUGUUUUUGUUUUUUCGGUUUAAUUGCAUUACUUUUUCCAGAUCUGUUUUUGUUGGUUUUCCUUAUUUUACUACAGAGAAUUGUCACAUUGCAAUUGCACUUGCAAAUCAUACUGCCUCCCUGCCAGAUGAACAAUGUACAGUGGCAUAGAAAUCAAGUUGAUCUCUCAUUUUGAGACAGGGACCCUGUUGGAAGAAAAAGGUGGCUGAAUUUUCAACUCGUUAUUUUAUGAAAAUGUCCAUUCGUUUUUGCUUUCUUUUUCUUUCCAACACGGCCAACAUAUUGGUUUCAGCAAU